AUUGAACGCUGGCGGCAUGCCUUACACAUGCAAGUCGAACGGCAGCGCGGGAGCAAUCCUGGCGGCGAGUGGCGAACGGGUGAGUAAUACAUCGGAACGUGCCCAAUCGUGGGGGAUAACGCAGCGAAAGCUGUGCUAAUACCGCAUACGAUCUACGGAUGAAAGCAGGGGAUCGCAAGACCUUGCGCGAAUGGAGCGGCCGAUGGCAGAUUAGGUAGUUGGUGAGGUAAAGGCUCACCAAGCCUUCGAUCUGUAGCUGGUCUGAGAGGACGACCAGCCACACUGGGACUGAGACACGGCCCAGACUCCUACGGGAGGCAGCAGUGGGGAAUUUUGGACAAUGGGCGAAAGCCUGAUCCAGCCAUGCCGCGUGCAGGAUGAAGGCCUUCGGGUUGUAAACUGCUUUUGUACGGAACGAGACGGUCUUUUCUAAUAAAGAAGGCUAAUGACGGUACCGUAAGAAUAAGCACCGGCUAACUACGUG
rnacentral:rRNA from 1 species